UCACUCAUGAGUCACUGAACAAUAUUUUGAAAGAGGAAGUAAAGUACUUUAAGAAUAUGUUCUCAUUUCAGUCUCCUCUAUCUCCACUAACCGAAGCUAAUUGUAUGGAUUUUUUCCCUAUUAAUAAUGUAAAAUUAACAUCUGUUCAAAAAGACACAUGUGAAGGCCAAAUUACAGAGGAGGAACAUAUUGAUGCAAUUAAAGCCUUUAAGUCAACUCCAAGGCUGGAUGGCAUACCAGUGGAAGUAUACCAGUCUCUAUGGGCGUACCACAGGGUUCAAUUCUCGGGACGACUCUGUUCUCUGUAUAUAUCAACGAUGUCGCUCUUGCUGUGGGUGAUUCCUUGAUCCACCUCUAUGAAGACGACACCAUUCUGUAUACAUCUGGCCCUUAUUUGGGCACUGUGUUAACAAACCUCCAAACGAGCUUCAAUACCAUCCAACACUCCUUCCGUGGCCUCCAACUGCUCUUAAACGCUAGUAUAAUUAAAUGCAUGCUUUUCAACCGAUCGCUGCCCGCACCCGCCCGCCUGACUAGCAUCACUAAUCUGGACGGUUCUGACUUAGGUAUUUGUAGUUGUCCACGUAUUCUAAAUGUCUGGCUGGACUGUAACCUCUCCUUCCAAACUCACAUUAAGCAUCGCCAUUUCAAAAUUAAAUCUAGAAUCGGCUUCCUAUUUCGCAACAAAGACUCCCUCACUCACGCUGCCAAACAUACCCUUGAAACACUGACUAUCCUACCGAUCCUUGACUUCGGCGAUGUCAUUUACAAAAUAGCCUCCAAAACUCUACUCAGCAAACUGGAUGCAGUCUAUCACAGUGCCAUCCCUUUUGUCACCAAAGCCCCAUAUACCACCCACCACUGCGACCUGUAUGCUCUCGUCGGCUGGUCCUCGCUACAUAUUCGUCGCCAGACCCACUGGCUCCAGGUCAGCUAUAAGUCUUUGCUAGGUAAAGCUCCACCUUAUCUCAGCUCACUGGUCACCAUAACAACAUCGACCCGUAGCACGCGCUCCAGCAGGUUUAUCUCACUGGUCAUCCCCAAAGCCAACACCACCAUUGGCCGCCUUUCCUUCCAGUUCUCUGCUGCCAAUGACUGGAACAAAUAGCAAAAAUCACUGAAGUUGGAGACUUAUGUCUCCCUCACUAACUUUAAGCAUCAGCUAUCUGAGCAGCUUACCAAUCGCUGCAGCUGUACACAGCCCAUCUGUAAAUAGCCCAUCCAACUAC
rnacentral:lncRNA from 1 species